CACAAUCUGACCAUUGUGACCUAAUGCUCCCCCACCCCACUUGUGAUUCCGUCACCGGAAUUUCUUCUCAAGUGGUCUCUGAUCCAGAGAGACACACCCAGCGGCAGCCGUUGACUCCCUCCACCCUUGCUUCCCUCUCAACCAUCUCACCUCCAUCUGUCCAGUGGAGCCAGAUGUCCCACCUUCUUGGGAGAAAUUAAUUGAGGCUCAUUUCCAGGACAGAGGGGCAAGCUGGGUCUGAGGAGCCAAGCAGAAAAACUUCCCAAAAUCACUGGGUGGGGAGGGGUCAGAGACUUACUGCUGCCCCAGCUGUUCUGACUCUGCCCCCAGCUUUUGGCCCCACCCUUUUAAAGCACCUUCAGAGGUUCCCAAUGGUGACAGUAAACAAGUCUCCACUGUCCUGGCCAUCUCUGCUGUGUUCACCCUACUCCUGAUCUUUCUGGCUGCUCAGGGACUGACAGCCAAGAUGUGAGGCUGUGAUGAGCAGGAACAGGGAGGCCUGGAGCCCCCAGACAGAUUUGCAAUGAUCAAGAGGCGUCCUGUGAAUGCAGUUUGCAAAGGACUUAGGCACACAGCAUCUCCUUUGUUCUCACCACAAGGCUGCCGGGUGUGCAGAUGUGAGGAUUAUUUCAAUGGUGAAGAAGCAUCCUGAGAGGUUACGUAGUUCAACUAAUGUCACACCAAGAGCAGGAGAGCAUCUGGGCAUUUGGACAUGGAAGGUGUGGGGCACAAGCAUCUCAUGGCCAGGGAACGGGGGAGGAGCAUCUCAGAGCUGCAUCAGAGUUCAUGCUGGUCCUAGGACAAGAGUCAAGCACACCCUGCUUUCACCAGCUGCUGGUAGCUUUCACUCAGGUUCCCACUUUGGCCACUUAAUUCUCUGAACCUCUACUACAUGAAGAGACUAGAACUUGAUUAGAAAAAAAUGGAAUGACUCUUAAUGAGCAAGUGGAUGAAUAAAUUGUGGUAAAUCCCUACAAGUGACUAUUAGAAAGCGAAUGAGUAGAGUUAAUUAAUUCCAUAUUGACAUUGUGCACUGUUUAUGAUACAUUAUGUAAGAAAAAA
rnacentral:lncRNA from 1 species